rnacentral:rRNA from 1 species
GAUGUGAUCAUCGAAUCUUUAGAACGCACAUUGCGCCCUAUGGUAUUCCAUAGGGCAUGCCUGUUUGAGCGUCAUUUCUCUCUCAAAUCUUCGGAUUUGGUUUUGAGUGAUACUCUUAGUCAGACUAAGCGUUUGCUUGAAAUGUAUUGGCAUGAGUGGUACUAGAUAGUGCUGAACUGUUUCAAUGUAUUAGGUUUAUCCAACUCGUUGACCAGUAUAGUAUUUGUUUAUUACACAGGCUCGGCCUUACAACAACAAACAAAGUUUGACCUCAAAUCAGGUAGGACUACCCGCUGAACUUAAGCUUAUCAAUAAGCGGAGGAAUC